rnacentral:lncRNA from 14 species
GCACUUUAUGCACAGUUCGUGCUCCAGAGUGUUUUCACUUCCAGUUGUGAGCUGUUUAUGGCUUGUGAGCUAGAUAAUGCCAUAGCAGCACACAUUAUCCUGAUCCUUUGUCAUCUCUCAAGACUAUAAAAAUCAAUAUCCUGCAAUAAUAAUAAAUGCAGUUCCUUGAUUUGCAAUACUGUCAAAGAUUGAUUGUAAAUCUCAGUAAACAAAGAUUCAUCCAGGUGUAGGACAGCAGAUAUCUCCAAGCAACAAGGCAAAAGGGUAAAAGAAAUACAAAGAAAGAAAUAUUGACAUUUUUCACAAUGUAGCUGAUAAACAGGAAGUAAAACUUUGAGCUUUGAAACUUGCAUUUUUGUGUUGUUAUCUGAAAUCAGAUGGCUGAUGCUUGUAUAUGCUUGUAUUUUCAGAUUAUAAGUCUGCUUUUUGGGCUAUUAUUGUGCAAGAUACUGAACCAAUUACUUAUCUGUGUAAACCAUGAAAGAGUCAUCUACACAUCCUUCAUGCUAACAGGACAGUGGACAAGGAUGGCAUCAUCAGAAAAGCCAGCUGAAGAGCUGCUGGUGUCAGGCUGCAUACCUGUGUUUGAAAGGGCCUCUCCAUUGACUGCUCCCUUUGCUGGACUCCUUGGCUACUGCUCCUGACAUGAUUCCUUCUCCCUGGCCUUUCCACCAUCUCAUCUUUUGAAGAGAAAGUAUUUUCACCUUCACUUAAAUGCCU